GGCAGGUACGAGAGGGAUGCUACCGGGCGACCGGAUGCGGAUCUCGAAAGCCUGUCCCAGUUCGGACUGGAGUCUGCAACCCGACUCCACGAAGUUGGAUUCGCUAGUAAUCGCGCAUCAGCCAUGGCGCGGUGAAUACGUUCCCGGGCCUUGUACACACCGCCCGUCAAGCCAUGGGAGCCGGGGGCGCCUGAAGUCCGGGACCGCGAGGACCGGCCUAGGGCGAAACUGGUAACUGGGGCUAAGUCGUAACAAGGUAAC
rnacentral:rRNA from 1 species